AAACCAGCACCUCAAGUGGUCAGGAGGAUUAUUGGGCCUAAAGCAUCCGUAGCCUGCUGCAUAAGUUUUCGGUUAAAUCCAUACGCUCAACGUAUGGGCUGCCGGAAAUACUACAAAGCUAGGGAGUGGGAGAGGUAGACGGUAUUCGGUAGGAAGGGGUAAAAUCCUUUGAUCUAUUGAGGACCACCUGUGGCGAAGGCGGUCUACCAGAACACGUUCGACGGUGAGGGAUGAAAGCUGGGGGAGCAAACCGGAUUAGAAACCCGUGUAGUCC
rnacentral:rRNA from 1 species